rnacentral:rRNA from 1 species
AUUGAACGCUAGCGGGAUGCUUUACACAUGCAAGUCGAACGAGUGGCGGGCGGGUGAGUAAUGUAUCGGAACGUGCCCAGUAGCUGGGGAUAAAUACUCGACAGAGUGGAUACUAACGCAUACUAUUGGAGAGGCCGAUAUCGGAUUAGCUAGUUGGUGGGGUAAAGGCUCACAAAGGCAACGAUCCGUAGCUGGUUGGAGAGGAUGACCAGCCACACUGGGACUGAGACACGGCCCAGACUCCUACGGGAGGCAGCAGUGGGGAAUUUUGGACAAUGGGGGAAACCCUGAUCCAGCCAUCCCGCGUGUAUGAGAAGGCCUUCGGGUUGUAAAGUACUUUUAGUAGAGAAGCGGUAUCUGCAGAAUAAGCACCGGCUAACUACGUGCCAGCCGCCGCGGUAAUAC